CCUACGGGAGGCAGCAGUGGGGAAUAUUGGACAAUGGGCGAAAGCCUGAUCCAGCCAUGCCGCGUGAGUGAAGAAGGCCUUAGGGUUGUAAAGCUCUUUCAGUCGUGACGAUGAUGACGGUAGCGACAGAAGAAGCCCCGGCUAACUCCGUGCCAGCAGCCGCGGUAAUA
rnacentral:rRNA from 1 species